UCCAGUGAACACUGAAUACAAGGAGAAGCUCCUAGUUGAUGGACAUGUUCUUCAGGAUCCUUUUUCCUUGGAUUUUGGAUGGAACAGGGAGGAGAAAGGAAUCAACAUGUGUCCGUCAGUGUACAUUACAGACAUAGCAAGUUACAUGAAUGAGAGAACUCCAGAGGACCUUGUGAGACAGAUCACCAAUGAAUAUAAAAUGGGGUAGCAGAUCCCCUAAACAGCAACCUGAAGGAAGCAGCAAAUCGUCUGGCAAGCAAGGGCUGGGCAGACUCAACAAAAGGGACGUAUGGAAGCCACCUUAAGUGUUACAUGGAGUUCUGUGAGAAGACAAAGUUCAACCCAGUCCCAGCUACAAAUUAGUGUCUUUCUUGUUUUGUGGCAUACAUGGUUGAUAUAAAGCAUUUUAAGUACAGUACUGUGAGACAAUAUUUGUGCAUUGUGUCUAAUAUUCACAAAAUGAAUGAUCUUGAUGAUCCAUUGAAGGAUAACUGGCAUGUGCAGAACCUGCUCAGGGGUGUACGAAGAGAGCUAGGUGAUGCUCAAAAGUGUGCAGCACCCAUUACUCCCUAUCACUUAUUGAUGAUUCGUUUUAAGCUGAACUUAAGUUUAUUGGGUGCGUCCAUCUGGACUGCAUGUUUAACAGGAUUUUUUGGUAUGCUUAGAUCUAGCAACUUUUUGUGUUAAAGUGUGUUUGAUGCCAGCAAGCACAUGUGUGUUGAAGAUGUCUCCCUGAGCGAUGGAGCGUUUGCGAUAGACUUAAAA